rnacentral:lncRNA from 1 species
CUGAUAGAUGUGAGGUGAUACCUCAUUGUGGUUUUGAUUUGCAUUUCCCUGAUGAGUGAUGUUGAGCCUCUUUUCCUGUGCCUGUUUGGCCAUUUGUCUAUCUUCUUUGGAGAAAUGUCUGUUCACGUCUUCUGUCCAUUUUUAAUCAAAAAUUGUUUUAACGUUGAGUUGUAUAAAUUCUUUAUAUAUUUUGGAUAGUAACCCUUUAUCAGAUAUGUCAUUUGCAAAUACCUUCUCCUAUUCAGUAAGUUGUCUUUUAGUUUUGUUGAUUCUUUUCUUUGCUGUGUAGAAGCUUUUUAUUUUGAUGUAGUCCCAACAGUUUAUUUUGACUUUUAUUCCUGGGAAACAUUUAAAAUCAUGCCUUUUCUUUAUCGAAUCUGUCACCAGGUCUAUUGUUUGUUACUUCAAAAGCUUCCUUUAAAUACAUAUUUUUUUCCCGCUAAACCUAUGGCCAUCUAUCUUUCUUCCCUUUUUUACCCCAUGUAGAAUCUCAUCACACCAGACCUGAAUCUCAUCACUACUCUAGCAGCUUCCUGGAUGGGCUCUGGGCCUCGUGCUUCUCCUUACUAAUGCAUUUCACAUACACUGAUAGAUUAUUAAUGCUCUUGAACCAUGGCUUUAAUCAUAUUAUUUUCUAUUGAAAGAACAUGUAUUUGUUCACUAUUGGAUACUGUGUAUUAAUUUCAGUUUCCGGGGCAGCCCCGGUGGCUCAGCGGUUUAGCGCCGCCUUCAGCCCAGGGCACGAUCCUGGAGACCCGGAAUCGAGUCCGAUGUUGGGCUCCCUGCAUAGAGCCUGCUUCUCCCUCUGCCUGUGUCUCUGCCUCUCUCUCUCUUUGGGUCUCUCAUCAAUGAAUAAAUAAAAUCUUAAAAAAAAUAAUUUCAGUUUCCUUUGUUUAGCUUUCAAGACCCCCAAAGGAGUAGUAAGGAUUCAGUAUAUUCUAUUUAUUGUAAAGAAAGCACAGGACCACUAAAUCUAAGGCAGUUAGUUAUUCACGGAACUUGGUGAAUAGUGGACUAUACCAGGCAGAGAAGCUUGGCAGCAGCUCUGCUCCUAGAUGAGGACGCCCCUUGCUUUGUAACCACACCCAACAUCAUUGGAGACAACUUCAGUGGGACUUGUACAACCUGCUCCUGCCACCCAAACUGCUAAAAGUAAAAAUGAAUCCUGGAUAAAGGUGUCUUUAGGAAGGCUGGUGAGCAUGUGUGAAUUCAAUCUGAUGGUGAGUGACUGAAUAUAUACACAGAUAAUGGCCAGACCAUUUGUAAAAAAAGAGCUCUGACCCAUAAGCUGCAGCAAUCAGCCCACGAUAUAUAGUAACCAGCCUAGGAUGCAAGCCUGCUUCCAUCAAACUUGUAAGAAGCCAGAUAACUAUCCAUAGUAACAAUCCAGGAAGCUAAUCAAUCUCUUCUGUAACAAUUGUCUCAAAAUGGCCAAGACUUGAUUAAUAACUGACAGUUUCCCUAAUUUUUGGCCCUUCUUCUAACUCAGAUCCAACCAGAGAAAGUCAAAUAUAUACUUCUACCCAGUUAUGGAGGAUUCUAGUUAACUGCCUACAGUUUCCCCAUGCCUAUGGCUCCAUCAAGGCACCUGAAGCCUUCCCUAUUCCUCAGUUGAAAAGCCUCUGUCAAAACCCAAGUGAUGGUGGCUUAUUCCCUUGCAAUAGCAGGCUCUGAAUAAAUAACCUUUGCUUCUCUCAUUUGGUUGCUCUUAAUUUAUUCUACAACAGGUUUAUUUAAA